rnacentral:rRNA from 1 species
GAUGAACGCUGGCGGCGUGCCUAAUACAUGCAAGUCGAGCGAACGGACGAGAAGCUUGCUUCUCUGAUGUUAGCGGCGGACGGGUGAGUAACACGUGGAUAACCUACCUAUAAGACUGGGAUAACUUCGGGAAACCGGAGCUAAUACCGGAUAAUAUUUUGAACCGCAUGGUUCAAAAGUGAAAGACGGUCUUCUGUCACUUAUAGAUGGAUCCGCGCUGCAUUAGCUAGUUGGUAAGGUAACGGCUUACCAAGGCAACGAUGCAUAGCCGACCUGAGAGGGUGAUCGGCCACACUGGAACUGAGACACGGUCCAGACUCCUACGGGAGGCAGCAGUAGGGAAUCUUCCGCAAUGGGCGAAAGCCUGACGGAGCAACGCCGCGUGAGUGAUGAAGGUCUUCGGAUCGUAAAACUCUGUUAUUAGGGAAGAACAUAUGUGUAAGUAACUGUGCACAUCUUGACGGUACCUAAUCAGAAAGCCACGGCUAACUACGUG